AGCGAUGUCCAUUGGUGGAUCACCGGGGUCUACGGACCACAGGACGACGAGGCCAAGCUUGAGUUCCUGGCCGAGCUACACGAUGUGCGUGAACCCCGCAUAGGCCCGUGGCUCCUUGGUAGUGACUUCAACAUGAUCCUCUCGGCGGCCGAGAAGAGCACUGCAAAUCUCAACCACCGCAUCAUGAGCAGGUUUCGACGAUUCAUUGCCGAUGAGGAGCUUCGUGACUUAUACAUGCACGGCCGCCGUUAUACGUGGUCUAAUGAGCGCGACCACCCGACCCUAGUCCGCAACGACCGCAUCCUCUGCACAUCUGGAUGGGAGUCUGCUCACCCUCACUGCCUCCUGCAGUGCCUCUCUUCGGCAGCAUCGGACCACUGUCCGCUCCUGGUCGACUGUGUGGCGCGGCCACCCGGGGCUAGACGCUUCCAGUUCGAGAGAUUCUGGCCGAGGCUCACUACGAAAAAAAGACACAUCCGUGACACUUUGGGCCGAACGAAAUUUUUUUCUGUCAUACAUAUGACACUUCUAUGA
rnacentral:rRNA from 1 species